UAAAUUUGUAUUUAUGUUCCAGACACAUCUCAUCUGAUAUACAAUAUUUUCUUAAAUUGUAAAAAGAGAAAUUAUUGUAUAUCAGAUGAGAUGUGUCUGGGGUUAAGUAUUAGCUGCACU
rnacentral:pre_miRNA from 8 species